CAAAGAGAAGUGACCAAAGAAAAAAAGGCACUCAGCACAUAACAGCUGUCUGAAUUUUCAAACUCCUUUACUAAGGAAAAAAGAAAAUUAAAAAUACGACUUUUUUAUAAGGCUUUUAACAACGACAAAAGCUUGCAGGGGACUUUGAAAAUACUGCUGUGUUUCAUCAAGGCUUUUUGACUAUUACAGAAGGAUGUGUAUUGGAAGCCUAAUGAAGUCUGUUUGUCUUGCUUCCAAAACUCAGUAUGUUGGCAGGAAUGACUGACAGGAUUUUGUUGAAGAAAAAAGAUUGUCAUAUGGUGAUCAGGAACAGGCACAAAUCUAUACAACAAAAUAACAUCCUAAUUCCAUUAGAUGCACUAUUCUGCAGCAUAAUGUUUAAUUGGUUUCAAUUUAACAGAGAUUCAUGUUGAACUGCACUCUGGACAAUCAGAGAUGUUGAUGGCCAUAUGCUGAAUUCCUCAAGGUGCAGUGAGAGGGGCUUGUGUGCUUGUUAAGGACAUGGCAGGCCAUCAACAACAUAUGUAUUGGAUGGCUUCAUAACACACAUGCUUUCGG
rnacentral:lncRNA from 1 species